rnacentral:rRNA from 1 species
UCCAGGCCCUACGGGGCGCAGCAGGCGCGAAACCUCCGCAAUGCACGCAAGUGCGACGGGGGAACCCCAAGUGCCACUCUUAGCGGGGUGGCUUUUCAGAAGUGUAAAAGCUUCUGGAAUAGGGGCUGGGCAAGACCGGUGCCAGCCGCCGCGGUAACACCGGCAGCUCAAGUGGUAGCCGCUUUUAUUGGGCCUAAAGCGUCCGUAGCCGGUCUGAUAAGUCUCUGGUGAAAUCCCGCAGCUUAACUGUGGGAAUUGCUGGAGAUACUAUCAUGACUCGAGGUCGGGAGAGGCUGGAGGUACUCCCAGGGUAGGGGUGAAAUCCUGUAAUCCUGGGAGGACCACCUGUGGCGAAGGCGUCCAGCUGGAACGAACCUGACGGUGAGGGACGAAAGCCAGGGGCGCGAACCGGAUUAGAUACCCGGGUAGUCCUGGCCGUAAACGAUGUGGACUUGGUGUUGGGAUGGCUUCGAGCUGCCCCAGUGCCGAAGGGAAGCUGUUAAGUCCACCGCCUGGGAAGUACGGCCGCAAGGCUGAGACCUAAAGGAAUUGGCGGGGGAGCACCACAACGCGUGGAGCCUGCGGUUUAAUUGGAUUCAACGCCGGG